CCACUUAUCCUUUCAUUCAAAAUGGUACUUGAUGGAUUAAAAUUUCCCAAGUCCUGGAUUCAAAUCCUACUGGUACCUAGAUACCAAAAAAAAAAAAUUUUCUCUUUUAUUCAAAUUUUCGGAUCAAUUUCUCUCUCAUGCGGGUCCCACUUCACCAAUCAGAUUCCCCUUUUCUCUCACUCUCUUCUCCCACUCUCCCUCACGCGUUCCCCCACUCACGCUCUCCCUCAACCUCUCGACUCUUUCUCUCUUCCUCUCCAAACCCAUUUUCUUCUUCUUCUUCUUCUGAUACAGCAACAAGAGUUAUCACCAUCACCAUGUUUCCCUUCUCCCUCUCACGCCAGCCACCACCGCGCCCUCCUCACGCGAGCCCGCAGCCAACCACCGCCACCACCGCGAGCCAAAACGCCACCACCACGCGUUUUUCUCCUCUGGUUCCUCAACCACUACCAGCACCAGUAUCACCGUGAGUCCCUCUCCUCCAUGGCUGCAACCACCACGAGCUCCAGCCACCACAGACGUGAAAAAUAAGGAAAAAAAGAAACCCUAAAACCGCCACCUUUCAACUCCGAUCUCCGGCGAACCACUGAGUUUUUGGAGAAACCAACCACACCCUGGAACUCCCCUCGACGUGCGCUGCAAAACCCCUAAAGAAAUUUUGGAUUCCGACCACCUUCGCCGGGAACCGCCGCCAGCCACCGUGAACCACCGUCUUCUCCGGCCAAACUUCGCCGGAGAUUUCACUGAACUCAAAACCAGGAAGCUCUCCUCCUCCUCUUGCUGAAUUGAUUAUCAAUUUUGGUGUUGUUCAACAAUGAUGGUCCUCAGAGGAAGACAGAAGCUGCUGUUACAGAAGAUGAAGAAGCAAAUUCAGAACCUUAGCCAUGAGGCUUAAGGUAGAAAACAAAAUAUUUUUCUGUUUUGGGUAUCGUUUUAAUUCUUGUAGGGGCUGAAAAUGUUUUUGAAAAUGUAAGGGCAUUGGAGAUGGUUAAUCUCUAGUUAGUUCUGUUGUUUAUGUAUUGAUUACCUCUGGAUGAGCAUGGGUUCGAUAUUAGAUUAGGAGAAGUUAUGCUGUUGUUGUCCUGUGAUUAUAGUAGCUGCUGUUCUGUCAAAUACGUAGGUUUAAUGACCGAAUUUGAAGAAGUAGUCUUCAUAAGUAUUGUAGCAUUUUCUGUUAGCAAAAUUUUGCCACUGGUUUCAUGUAA